UCAAGGCACCCUCUUUGGCUCAAAGCUCCGGCUUCAGAACUUGUGGGUAAGUUUUCCCACGAUCCCUAGGAGCGCCUGCCCCACCUCCCCACCCCUAUUCACAGGUCUGCAUCUAUUAUGAUGGAAAUUAUCAGGAUUAAUGUGAUUAUCUGAGAAGUGCCUUUGAGAGUGGGGGUGAGACUGGUGUUAUGAUCUACUGCAGUAUUUCUUUGCACAAGACAAGCCCCUGUGUCUUUCAAGUGUUCUGACUUAAUGACAGGGUAUCCCACCAAAUGUCAGGAGUGACAGACACCUCAGGAGCGCAUUUUUCACAUGGAGUUUUAAGUUUAGCAGUACUAAGGGUGGAGUAGAAUUCUUAUAUUUGGUGUGUUACACGGUGGAACAGUUUCUGAGAGUAUGAAAUCUUUAAAAAGCCUUUACCUCCUGAUUUCUGGAAUUUUCUUUGGUGCUUAGCAUCCAAUUAAUCUAAGUCCCUCCAAAGAAAAGCACAUGCAAACAGAAUCUUUGAGGCUUGGGCCCGACGCGCCUUCCUUGCAGUGGUACCACGGCAGGAGUGGUGAGAGUGCUGAGAGACACUUGGCUCCUGGCUUUCCCCUCUGAGAGUCAGACAUGAUAUGAAGAAGGAACAUAAAGAACAAAGAGCCAGAGAAGAGGGGGUUUGUUACAUCUGGAGAGCUGCAGUGGGGACCCAGGCAUCCCUGUGCACACUCCAAAGCCCCCGUUCCUUUGUCUUUCCAAUGCAUGUGUGGAUAUGGAAAUCCCAUCCUAGUGUGUUCAGCAACCCUACCUCACCAGCUCACCUCAGCCAUGAGUGUUCCCAUCAGUCGGCCUGGGGUUACACAUGACUCAGCCCCUAGCUCAGGGCUCGCAGGCUGCAACAACACUGGAUCCAGCUGUGUCCAGCUUUGUGAGAUUCCAAGUUGGGUAACCCAUGUUAGCUAAAAGCAUGAAAGUGCUUUUUUAAAUCCCUCUCAGGUCAGAGAUUGAAGUGUUCGUUGUAGGUCUGUCUUGAGUGAUAUACUCUCCCCCAGUCUUGAAUGUGGUGGCCUUAGGAGCCCAAGAGAACCCCAGACGCUCAAAACACCGUCCCCACUCACUCACUGUUUUCUACAGUGUGGGCCCAAGAGCCUUCACUUUUACCACCUUAACCCAAAGCAUUAGAAAGAUCUGUUCAAGACACCUUUCUUAACCAAAUCAGAUAGUUUGUUGUUUCUUAGAGACUUGCCUUCCUGCCCAGAGGUAGAAUCCAGGGCCCUGGGCAUGCUGAGAAGCACAGGUAGACUGAGCUAUGUUCCCAGCACACCUCCCGUGCUCACACCUUAAACUUUUGUAUGGAUUUAUUCUUUAACCUUUUUUUAGUAAAUUGUCUAAGGCUGCACUUUCAGUCCUCCUGCUGGAAUUACAGGCCUGGCCUGGAGAAUUUUUUUGAUGUUAACAAAGAUGAAGGGUAAAAGUGAAGGAGCUGCUCCGGGCAUGAACACUAGGUCAAGUUCAAAGGCUCAUAAAAGCUCUUCUCAGUUCGAUUUGCUGGUACCCAGCAAUAUGCUCAUAAUAAGAAAAGACAUACUUAAACUUGCCUCAUGCAGUGCACAGUCUGCAUGAUUUCCUUACCACUGAGCUACUGUUUGCCCUGGUAGGAGGCUUUCAGAGUAACUGAAGUCUAGCUCAUUGAGCAUACUGUUGAACUGAAAUGGGAGUGGUGUCCUGCUCAGAUAUUUGAGGGUGAGACUCCCUGUGUUACUUCUCAUGACCCUGAGAAGGUUAGGGUUCGGGUUGGAUGCAGUAAAAAGUAUGUUAAAAUCCCAGCACAGGGCUUGUGAGGUUGGGGCAAGGAGCAAGCCAGGAGACCAUGAUGUCCACAUGUCCUGAGAUCAUGGGGUCAAGACUAGAGUUGCCGAUGUUCACAGCUGCUAGAAGUUGAGCAAAUGAGGGGUGGGAACUGACUUUUCCCCAGAGGAGACAGUGUUGAUGUUCAUAUGAGCAGUUCUAGCAAAUGGCAAGGGAGAGUAAAAUACGGUAGAAAUUAACAAAGCCACGCGAAGAACUCACAGUGUAUGUAAGGCAGGAAAAGACCCCAUGUAUUCCCUGUAAGAUCAGAGCAAGGCAGGGUGCCCAUUUUCAGGUCUAUUCAACCUGAAGCUGAGAUUUCAAGCCUGAGCAAUUAGGGAAGAGAGAGAAACAAAAGGCAACAAAAUCGG
rnacentral:lncRNA from 1 species